GAUUCCCUCCCCGCUCUCUCUCUCUAACGAUAAAAAUUCUCCCUCAAAGGGUCGCCUCAAAACGAAACCCUCAUUUUUUUUUUCUUCCCUGAAAAUCCCCAAACCCCUCAAAACCCCUCCAAAAUUAAAAAUCCCCAAAUUUCAAAAUCCAGAAUCCCUAACUCAGAGAGAGAGAGAGAGAGAUUUAUAGCUACAAAUCUAGACAAUAUUAUUAUAAGCAAUGGAUUCAGAUCAGGGAAAGCUAUUUAUUGGAGGGAUUUCGUGGGAGACAUCAGAGGAGAAGCUCAGAGACUACUUUGGGCAAUACGGGGACGUUUUGCAGGCUGUCGUUAUGAAAGAUAAGACUACUGGUAGACCUAGAGGCUUUGGCUUUGUCGUCUUUGCAGAUCCUGCCGUGCUUGAUAUGGUUCUUCAAGAUAAGCACACCAUUGAUGGUAGAAUGGUUGAGGCAAAGAGGGCCUUAUCAAGAGAGGAGCAGCAAACCAAUGCCAGGGCCGGAAACCUGAAUCCUGCUAGAAACACCAGCGGUGGUGGAAAUAUUCGGACCAAGAAGAUAUUUGUUGGAGGAUUGCCUCCCACUCUAACUGAAGAUGGAUUUCGUCAGUAUUUUGAAGCCUUUGGCUUUGUUGCUGAUGUAGUAAUAAUGUAUGACCAGAGCACCCAGCGACCUCGUGGAUUUGGCUUUAUUUCUUUUGACACUGAAGAUGCAGUUGACCGGGUGUUACAGAGAUCGUUCCAUGAUUUGAACGGUAAGCAAGUUGAAGUGAAACGGGCUCUUCCUAAAGAGGCCAAUCCUGGUGGGGGUGGCCGCUCCAUGGGUGGCAGUUACCAGAACUAUGGUGCAUCUGGUGGCAACACAAGCUCAUAUGAUGGUAGAAUGGAGAGGUAUAUGCAGCCUCAAGGUACUGGAGGUGGUUUUCCUCCUUAUGGCUCAUCUGGCUAUAGCACAGCUGGAUAUGGAUAUGGUCCUGCCACUAAUGGUGUUGGUUAUGGUGGUUAUAGCGGCUAUACUGGAGCUGGAGCUGGUUAUGGGGGACCUGCAGGUGCAGCUUAUGGGAAUCCUAAUGUUCCAAAUGCUGGCUAUGUAAGUGGUGCACCUGGUGCACCCAGAAGUUCAUGGAACAGUCAAGGUUCAUCUGGCUAUGGUGCUAUGGGUUAUGGGAAUGCUGGUUCUUGGGGCGCUCAAAAUGCUGGGGCUGGCAGUGGUGGCCCUGGUUCAGUACCUGCUGGUCAAUCUCCUGGUGGAGCCGCUGGGUAUGGGAAUCAAGGUUAUGGGUACAGUAGUUACGGUGGAAAUGAUGGAUCAUAUGGGAAUCCAGCUGGGUAUGGUGCUGUUGGAGGACGUUCUGGGGGCACUCCAAACAGUAAUGUUGGUGGUCCUGGUGGAGCAGAACUACAGGGGAGUGGCGGUGGCUACAUGGGGAGUGGAUAUGGUGAUGCAAAUGGAAAUUCUGGGUAUGGAAAUGCAGCGUGGAGAUCUGAGCAAUCACAAGCUUCUGGAAAUUAUGGGGCUCCUCAAGCAAAUGGUCCUCAUGGUGGACAGGUUGGAUAUGGUGGUGGUUAUGGUAGUUCUCAGGCUCGAAAAGCCCAACAACAGUGAUUUGUGAACACCUUGGUUGCCUACUAGGUCUACAUCUUUGUUUGUGGGCGUGUCCAGCUGUUCUCAAGAGGUUCUCCUAAGAUUUCUUGCUCCCAGCACCAGGGGGGAGGCUCAAAUUGGAUGAUGCACUUUGGGAAUGGAGGAGAUGCCCAAGUUCUAAGGUGGAGUCAAAGUGUCCACUCAUGGCUGAACCCGAGCUUCCUAGUGGGGGUUGGUCAGCAUGGAAGUGAAUUUGAAGAGGACUUGUCAGUUGGAUUUGUGAUUAACCCAAGAAAGGCUUUUUCCAGCUAGGUGAUGCCACUGUCACCCUUUCUUGCAGAUUCUUGGCAUUGGAAGUCAUAAAUUUCUCGAUCAUUCCGAUUUCUUUUGGACUGAUGGAUAUGUAAGACAAAAGAGCUUGCGCUAAACAAAUGGAAGGUUGUGCUGAAAUUGCAUAUAGUGAUGGGAAACAAAUGUUAAGAGGGCCAGCUGCCAUCCACUUGUCUUUCCAGAAUUGGAUUGUCUCCCCAUUACCAAUUUGUGUAACUGCAGCUAUUCUUCAAGGACGAUGAAAUUGUUGUGUCUGAAUUAAUGAUUGAGUAGAAUCCCCCCCACGUAGCUGACAAUGGUCUGUUGAACAGAGGAAGUCCAUUUUCAAAAGCAGGGCAGUAUGUUGUGCAGAUGAAAUCCUGCCACCCACCUGGAUGAUUAUCCCCUAAACACCAAAGCCACUUGAACAACAAUGCUUUAUUCUUCCCUUGUAAUGACCCCAAUCCUAAACCUCCUCUGUUUUUGGACCUAAUUACAACACUCCAAGCCACUUUGCACAUUUUCUCUCCAUGUGAAACACCACCCCACAGAAACUUUUGUUGGAUUGAUGUAAGCACCUUGGCAACCCCCUGCGGCAACAGAAAUAUUGACAUAUAAUACAGUGGCAGGGAGGAGAGAACAGUCUUGAUAAGGCAGACACGUCCUGCUAAACUUAGAAAUCUUCCCUUCCAUCUUCCCAGUCUAGUGCGGGGAAUUUAUUAACAACCGGCUUCCAAGUUGAAAUUCUCUUCGGAUUUGCACCCAAAGAUAGUCCCAAGUAUCUGAUGGCAAUGUGUCCCAUUUACAGUAGGUUACAUUGGUUAUACCAGCCGUAUAAUCUUCAUCAAGAUUAAUACCAACAAGAGAGCUCUUAUGAAAGUUAA